rnacentral:lncRNA from 1 species
GUUUGAUGGUGAAUGUCGGUCGAUAUGUUGUUUCGUCUGUCGAUCGAUAACGAUGCUUCUGGUCGACGGGCAAUGUAACUCUGAAUCUCCACCAAUUCCUUCUGUAUAACUUCAAUAUUGGAUGUCAAAGCACUGAUGCUAAGAUCCAUUGGGAAAUAGAUGUCAUCACAUCUCCCAUCGAGCCUCUCCUCUGUAGUUUCCAGAGCUCUAUAGAUCUCUUCUACCAACUGAUCUUUCUCCUCCCUGGUGUGAAAAUCUUUUUGGGACUUCUUCGUAUGUGGGCGUGGUGG